rnacentral:rRNA from 1 species
GACGAACGCUGGCGGCGUGCUUAACACAUGCAAGUCGAACGGAAAGGCCCUGCUUUUGUGGGGUGCUCGAGUGGCGAACGGGUGAGUAACACGUGAGUAACCUGCCCUUGACUUUGGGAUAACUUCAGGAAACUGGGGCUAAUGCCGGAUAGGAGCUCCUGCUGCAUGGUGGGGGUUGGAAAGUUUCGGCGGUUGGGGAUGGACUCGCGGCUUAUCAGCUUGUUGGUGGGGUAGUGGCUUACCAAGGCUUUGACGGGUAGCCGGCCUGAGAGGGUGACCGGCCACAUUGGGACUGAGAUACGGCCCAGACUCCUACGGGAGGCAGCAGUGGGGAAUAUUGCACAAUGGGCGGAAGCCUGAUGCAGCAACGCCGCGUGCGGGAUGACGGCCUUCGGGUUGUAAACCACUUUCGCCUGUGACGAAGCGUGAGUGACGGUAAUGGGUAAAGAAGCACCGGCUAACUACGUG